rnacentral:lncRNA from 1 species
UAUUUCCAUUUAUUUUGGCUCUUCGUAGUAAUAUUUGCUGUUGUAUUUUUUGUUUUUAUUUUCUAGUGAAGCUGACGUUGAGGGGCACCACGUACACUUUGUUAUAAAUUAUUCAUGAGAAUAUUAUUUACCAGUAUAUACCUAGAGAAUAUGUCAUUCGGUUUUUCGUGUUUUGACCAAAGCCAAAGAGGUAGAUAAAACACCACCAAAGACUAAAACACAUCUGUUAGACGAAAAUCAAAAAACGUAAUAAACCAUUUAGAAAAUAAAGAUAGAAAAAAUAAUUUAGUGUUAAUUGAAAAAAGAUAUUAAGGAAAUAAAAUCGUGACCAUGAUCAGCCCUUAGACAUAAGAUAUUAUGUAAUGCACAAGUUAAUAUGUAGCUUCAUUAGAUUACCAGCG